rfam:Rattus norvegicus chromosome 12, whole genome shotgun sequence.
GGGGAUUUAGCUCAGUGGUAGAGCACUUGCCUACCAAGCACAAGGCCCUGGGUUCGGUCCUCAGCUCCG